rnacentral:rRNA from 1 species
AAGGGUUUGAUCCUGGCUCAGAGUGAACGCUGGCGGUAGGCCUAACACAUGCAAGUCGAACGGCAGCACAGGAGAGCUUGCUCUCUGGGUGGCGAGUGGCGGACGGGUGAGGAAUACAUCGGAAUCUACUUUUUCGUGGGGGAUAACGUAGGGAAACUUACGCUAAUACCGCAUACGACCUACGGGUGAAAGCAGGGGAUCUUCGGACCUUGCGCGAUUGAAUGAGCCGAUGUCGGAUUAGCUAGUUGGCGGGGUAAAGGCCCACCAAGGCGACGAUCCGUAGCUGGUCUGAGAGGAUGAUCAGCCACACUGGAACUGAGACACGGUCCAGACUCCUACGGGAGGCAGCAGUGGGGAAUAUUGGACAAUGGGCGCAAGCCUGAUCCAGCCAUACCGCGUGGGUGAAGAAGGCCUUCGGGUUGUAAAGCCCUUUUGUUGGGAAAGAAAUCCAGCUGGCUAAUACCCGGUUGGGAUGACGGUACCCAAAGAAUAAGCACCGGCUAACUUCGUGCCAGCAGCC